GGGAAGGUGGCUCAGUGGUAGAGUGCUUGCCUUGCAUGCAUGAGGUCUUGGGUUCGAUUCUUCAGCAGUACCA
rfam:Dipodomys ordii contig_72576, whole genome shotgun sequence.